AUUAUUUAUUUUUCUGCAAUAAUUCUACUUCUAGAACCUAAAUUUUGAAAGCCUACUAAUUUUUCAGAAUUAAUUCGAGACCCCACUUUUUCUCCCCUUCCUACCUACGGUUACUUUUUGCUUAAACUUUAAAAGUUGUUUGAAAAUUUUUGCUGAAACUUGUAAAAUUUGUUUGAAGUUCGUAUAUCUCUCACAUAUUGCAAGGUUUCUUAAUUAUUUUAUUGAAUUUCCUACAUAAAUGCAUUCAAAUAUGAGUUGACAUUAUUGGAAAAGAUCCGUCAUCCUAAAGUAGUUCAGUUUUUUGGUGUCGUUACUCAGAAUUUGCCUAUGGUGAUUGUUUCUGAAUACCAUCCGAAGGAACGUGUUGAUGUAAAAUCUUUCAGUUUUGAUGGAUCUUAUUACAAGCUUUCAACUCUUCUUAGCACGACUUCUGACAGAACAAAGUCAUCACAAUCUGGACAAGAAUGAUGACCAUCAAAAUAACAAACAUGUGAUCAUCCAUGAGAAUCCAUAUGUUCAAGAGUCACAUCUUCAAGAAUCUACUGUAGAAACUCAACAGGAACAAAAAUGAACAACGCAAAUCAACAUCAAGAGCAAUCAGGCAGUGAUAUUAGCAUAGAUGGCAGAGAUGCACAUUUGAUAUUAACUAUAAGUAAUAUAGCAGAAAAUAUGGAAGGUCAUACUCAAACAGAAAAGGGACUGCUAGAAAUGAUUGAAAAUCUUCCGUUGGUAAGCCAACCACUUCCACUUUGUGAGAUGCUACCAUUAACUACUGGCAAAGGUCUUGCAUUAGUUUAAUUGGUAUGUGUGCCCUAAAGGGAUAAAAGCUCUUGGCAGUGAAAGACUUUACAAAACCAUUCAUCAAUUUUAAUUUGAAAAUUCCAAAA